UCCUGACCUGGUGACAGAGAGUGCCCU
rnacentral:piRNA from 1 species